UGAUCGAAUAGUGGCCAAAAACAAUGA
rnacentral:sRNA from 1 species